GAUGAACGCUGGCGGCGUGCCUAAUACAUGCAAGUCGAGCGAACAGAUGAGGAGCUUGCUCCUCUGACGUUAGCGGCGGACGGGUGAGUAACACGUGGAUAACCUACCUAUAAGACUGGGAUAACUUCGGGAAACCGGAGCUAGUACCGGAUAAUAUAUUGAACCGCAUGGUUCAAUAGUGAAAGACGGUUUUGCUGUCACUUAUAGAUGGAUCCGCGCCGCAUUAGCUAGUUGGUAAGGUAACGGCUUACCAAGGCAACGAUGCGUAGCCGACCUGAGAGGGUGAUCGGCCACACUGGAACUGAGACACGGUCCAGACUCCUACGGGAGGCAGCAGUAGGGAAUCUUCCGCAAUGGGCGAAAGCCUGACGGAGCAACGCCGCGUGAGUGAUGAAGGUUUUCGGAUCGUAAAACUCUGUUAUUAGGGAAGAACAAAUGUGUAAGUAACUAUGCACGUCUUGACGGUACCUAAUCAGAAAGCCACGGCUAACUACGUG
rnacentral:rRNA from 1 species